AGAGUUUGAUCCUGGCUCAGGAUGAACGCUAGCGGGAGGCUUAACACAUGCAAGUCGAGGGGCAGCAUAGGGUAGCAAUACUCUGAUGGCGACCGGCAAACGGGUGAGUAACGCGUAUGCAACCUACCCUGUACAGGGGGAUAACCCGGAGAAAUUCGGACUAAUAUCCCGUAAUAAUAUCCGGAGGCAUCUUUGGAUAUUUAAAGUUCCGACGGUACGGGAUGGGCAUGCGUAACAUUAGCUGGUUGGUAAGGUAACGGCUUACCAAGGCUAUGAUGUUUAGGGGUCCUGAGAGGGUGGUCCCCCACACUGGUACUGAGACACGGACCAGACUCCUACGGGAGGCAGCAGUGAGGAAUAUUGGUCAAUGGGCGGAAGCCUGAACCAGCCAUCCCGCGUGAAGGAAGACAGCCUUACGGGUUGUAAACUUCUUUUCUGUCAGAAGAAUAAGCUUGUCGAGACGAGUGAUGCCGGUAUGACAGGAAUAAGCAUCGGCUAACUCCGUGCCAGCAGCCGCGGUAAUACGGAGGAUGCAAGCGUUAUCCGGAUUCAUUGGGUUUAAAGGGUGCGUAGGCGGGCUAUUAAGUCAGUGGUGAAAUCCUGCAGCUUAACUGCAGAACUGCCGUUGAUACUGAUAGUCUUGAGUUUGGUUAAGGUAGGCGGAAUGUGUAAUGUAGCGGUGAAAUGCUUAGAUAUUACACAGAACACCAAUUGCGUAGGCAGCUUACUGAGCCGACACUGACGCUGAGGCACGAAAGCGUGGGGAUCAAACAGGAUUAGAUACCCUGGUAGUCCACGCCGUAAACGAUGAUUACUCGCUGUUGGCGAUACACUGUCAGCGGCUAAGCAAAAGCAAUAAGUAAUCCACCUGGGGAGUACGGCCGCAAGGUUGAAACUCAAAGGAAU
rnacentral:rRNA from 1 species